GAUCCGCUGUGACAUCUGUGACAGGUGGUUUCACCACGAGUGUGUCCUGAGGCCAGAUCUUGAUGGGGAUUACCUGUGCCCGGCAUGUGUAAUCAAUGCCUACCUCACCUUUCUUGUGAGGAAAUAUAAUAAAAUAAGUCCAGAAAAGGCUGGUGUCAUCGACAGUUUUUGCAUGACGGCAAUUUGGCAAGGGAAACAACAAAGACUCCGAAAACUCGAUCCAAUGGCAUUCUCCAUCCUUUUGGGAAUAAUUAAUUAACAAAACCACUAGAUGUUGACGGUGAG